CGGAGUUCCCAACUCGGUAAGGUACGAAAGCCCAACGGGCCCCAAACAGUCCAGAAGGGGCUCUCACACCGGAUCCGCUCUGGCUCCAACAACGUGAUGGGCUCCAUGGAAGCGUCGACCGCGCCGGAGAACGGCUCCUCCGCUGCCGGUGGCGGAGCCGGCGGCACGGCGUGCAACGGGGCGGGCGCCGCGUCUAACGGAGGAGGCAUGGAGAGGCGGCUGAGGUCCUCGGCCGCGUCCGCGUCGUGGGCGGCGCACCUUCCCCUGGAGGUGGGCACGCGCGUGAUGUGCCGGUGGCGCGACCAGAAGCUCCACCCGGUCAAGGUGAUCGAGCGCCGCAAGGGCUCCGCGUGCUCUUCCCCCGCCGACUACGAGUAUUACGUCCACUACACCGAGUUCAAUAGAAGACUUGACGAGUGGGUUAAGCUUGAUCAGCUUGAUCUUGACACUGUCGAGACCGUUGUCGAUGAGAAAGUAGAAGAUAAGGCAACAAGCUUAAAGAUGACACGGCACCAGAAACGUAAAAUUGAUGAAACACAUGUGGAGCAAGGACAUGAGGAGCUUGAUGCAGCCAGCUUGCGGGAACAUGAAGAAUUCACAAAGGUGAAAAAUAUCGCGAAGAUCGAACUGGGGAGAUAUGAGAUAGACACAUGGUAUUUCUCUCCUUUUCCACCAGAGUAUAAUGACUGCCCGAAGCUGUUUUUCUGUGAAUUUUGCCUCAACUUCAUGAAGCGCAAAGAACAGCUUCAGAGGCACAUGAAGAAGUGUGAUCUUAAGCACCCCCCAGGUGAUGAAAUCUAUAGAAGUGGAACUCUAUCAAUGUUCGAGGUUGAUGGGAAGAAGAACAAGGUUUAUGGACAGAACCUUUGUUAUCUGGCUAAGCUAUUUCUUGAUCACAAGACAUUGUACUAUGAUGUUGAUUUGUUCUUGUUUUAUGUCCUCUGCGAAUGUGAUGAUCGGGGAUGUCAUAUGGUGGGAUAUUUCUCUAAGGAAAAACACUCCGAAGAAUCUUAUAAUUUGGCUUGCAUUCUCACUCUCCCCCCAUACCAAAGAAAAGGAUAUGGGAAGUUCCUGAUUGCUUUCUCAUAUGAACUUUCCAAGAAAGAAGGUAAAGUUGGGACACCGGAGCGCCCUCUCUCUGAUCUUGGUCUGCUCAGCUAUAGAGGUUAUUGGACUAGAGUGCUUCUGGAAAUUCUAAAGAAACAUAAGGGAAACAUAUCUAUAAAGUUCUAGAAAGAAACUUUCUAUUGGCUCCUCAUAUUACCCUACUUAACCCUUGAUCUAUGACCAAAAAAGGAACUAAGCGACAUGACGGCAAUAAAAGCAGAUGACAUAUUGAGCACGCUACAGAGCCUGGACCUAAUCCAGUACCGCAAAGGGCAGCACGUCAUCUGCGCUGACCCGAAGGUCCUCGACCGCCACCUCAAGGCGGCGGGGCGGGGCGGCCUGGACGUCGACGUUAGCAAGCUCAUAUGGACUCCCUACAAGGAGCAAGGCUAAAAGGCGAACUGCUCCGUGUCUCAGAUUUAGACUCGCUGACCGAUGCGAUGCAGUCCCUGUACAUAGCAUCUCCCCACAGCUCACUUGACUUGACUUGACUCGUGUACCGUGAAACUCUACUUGUAACUUUGAACAUCCACAUCGUUGUCUCCUCAUUUCUCCUUGCAUUAACCAUGCUACCUUUUUUUUUU